rnacentral:sRNA from 2 species
CUGCUCGCUGCCCUGGUUAUGAGAUCAACCUCUCCAACAAUCGUUCUCCUCAAAGUCUUGCAGAAUUAUAUCGAUAUAUUCGCCUGCCCCUGAGAGGCGAAAGAUAUGAGCUGGGGAGAAGGGGUAUCUAUGGACAGGUAUUCUCUGGGGCAGAGGGUGUGGUAACAGAAGUCUUAGUCCCGUUACAAAAUGGACAUGCUGUUCCAUACCCUUGAACGCCUCACCGGAGUCAAAUGCGUGUGAAAUUAUACGACGAUGGCAGUUGCAGAUGAGGCAAAAGCUCCAAACAAAUGAUUUUUUUGCCCAAUGCCCCUGUAAGUUCAUGCCCGCCUGUUUGUGCCUGUUGCAUCAUGGAAAGGUGUGAAUUAUGGACGACUGGAGCAUUCCUGCCUGUGACUUUCACCAUUAACAACAUCAGCAAAGAAGCGUAAGAGCGCAGU